AUGACACACGAACGGCCAUUUUGUUUGGAAGUUUGGGGGAAGAAAGGAGUAGGAGAUUACGUUCGUUGUUUAAUUUACCUUCGAGAAAAGAUACCAAAAUUAUCUGCGUUGAAUUCCACCACGCAACGCUUUAAUACGCCGAUUUUUUUUUAAACCACAGCACUGAGUCCAAAAAUACUGACCCAGUUACCUACGUGGCAUCGUAAAGCAGGAGCGCGAAAACAAGAAGCCAUUCAUUUUGCAAGCGUGGUCGGCGUCUGUGGCCUUUUCUUAUGGCCGCUAUCUCUAAAUAGAUUUUCGACUAAGGACGUUGUAGAUCUGCAAGCCGUUACCUCGUUGAUUGCAAAUUAUUGCUAUUUUGUUUAAGUGUGUUCGUGGCGUUUCUAAAAUUUGCAAAACAAUAAUCAUUUGCUAAUAUUAGCUUACGCUAGCUAAAAUUCCAGCUAGCGAGCUAACGUUAGCGAUCAAAGGCAGCUCUGACGUAGCUAUAAGAUCGUAUAAGAGGUUCUAACUGCCCAAAUCAAACAAAUAUGGCAGAAUUAUACAUUCGUGUCGCGGAAGAUGAAAAUGAGGAGCCAAUGGAGAUCCCAUCUGAGGACGAUGGCACGGUGUUGCUAUCUACCGUGGCAGCACAGUUCCCCGGAGCGUGCGGCCUGCGCUACCGGAGUCCUGUUUCUCAGUGCAUGCGUGGUGUCCGCUUGGUUGAAGGCAUUCUGCACGCCCCUGAGAAUGACUGGGGAAAUCUGGUCUACGUCGUCAAUUAUCCUAAAGAUAACAAAAGGAAGAUGGACGAGGUCGAUGCCGCAUCUGCUGUUAAGAUAAAGAGGGGUGUCCAGAAGACCUCAGACUUGAUUGUCCUUGGUUUGCCCUGGAAGACGUCGGAACAAGACCUUAAGGACUACUUUAGCACCUUUGGAGAAGUCAUUAUGGUGCAGGUUAAGAGAGACGUGAAGACCGGGAAUUCCAAAGGGUUUGGCUUCGUACGGUUUACAGACUACGAAACUCAAGUGAAAGUCAUGUCACAGCGCCACAUGAUUGACGGCAGGUGGUGCGACUGUAAACUUCCCAACUCUAAGCAAGGUCCAGAUGAGCCAAUGAGAAGCAGAAAGGUGUUCGUUGGCCGGUGCACAGAAGACAUGUCCGCAGAAGAACUGCGGCAGUUCUUCAUGCAGUACGGGGAAGUCACAGACGUCUUCAUCCCCAAGCCCUUCCGGGCUUUCGCCUUCGUCACCUUUGCAGAUGACCAGGUUGCCCAGUCCCUGUGCGGAGAGGACCUGAUCAUUAAGGGCGUCAGCGUGCACAUCUCCAACGCAGAGCCUAAGCACAAUAAUAUUCAUCACCUCUUUUCCAAUUUCCCGGGAAGGAGCCCUUCGUUGGCAGCAAUGUUCGAGCAAGCUCAGUUUCAGUUCCCUUCUCCCCAUGUGUAAAUGCUUUGCCAUCAAAGAACGCAGCUUCACUCCGCAUUUACUGUGUUAGACGGGACCCUCGGAUACCGCUGACCCAGGUUUACAUCUGAACGCAGAGCGAAGUCAGUUUUCGGGAGGCUGAAGACCGGAGUCAGCGGAGUGUUGGUGGUCCCAUCACUAAGCUAACAGUGGGGGCCGCAGCCGAUUGCCUUAUACCUGAAAAGGGACUUCUUCACUUCACUGUAACGGGAUCCCUGGGAACUCAUCUCUUAAAAAAAAUUUAAAUGGACAAUUGGAAAUUAGGGAGGAGGUAUUCAUUCAUGCCUUACGAGAAAAAAAAACCAGUAAACAAGGCAGGGCCAAAUACUGAAUUCUUGUUCUUGAAACGCUUGUAUAGCCGAUUAUCCAUCCCCCCCUCAUUCCCCUACAAGUGACUCUUAAAGCAUAAAGAUGAAAGUGAUUUUUUAAAAAUCUUUGGUCUGUUAAUUUACUUCUGUGUACUCUGGCAUACUUGUCAAAUAGAGGACUUGUGUUUUCUCUCUACAAAAACUUGCAUUUUGUGUUUAAAUGCUUUGACCCACAACAGCAAUUUCUGUAAUUAUAAUGCAAAAACUUACAUCUUUCAUUUUUUUUUUCUUUCCUAAAGCAGUAUGUGGAUCCUGCCAUUUUAGCUGCUUAGAUUUCGCCCAUUAUUGUGGUUAAAAUGUUAAAUAUUUCCACUCGGACUGGUAGGACUCUACUUGUUAUGCUGGCGCUGUGAAGGGGGGAGGGGGUGGGGCAAUUGUAUGACUUGUAUCACUUUCGCAGGGUUGGGGACAUUGACAAUGCACAGCUAAUAAAACCUGCCACCAGGAAUCAAAUCACCUAUGUAUCACAUUUCCUCAAGUCUUUUAGUCAUUUGAAAUGUAAAAUAAACUUGUAAAAUUUUCAUCAUUUGUUUUUUUUUUUCCCCCCUCCCUUUCUCCAUCAAAUUUGCCUCCAUUGUAGAAUUGACUACAUUUGGCAUUUUUAAAAUUGUAGAUUAAGCCUGUAGUAAGUCAAGAGCACAUUCGAAGCAAGUUAUACAGGAGUAUAGUAUUCAGAAAGUCAAGCAAGAGCUAUACAUAUCUCUUGCUUUACUUUCAGUACUUCAGCAUUUUGAAUGUGAAAACUGAAGUGUGGUACAGCUGCUUAACUUUAGAUUUCCUGUUUAUUCCUUGUUUGUGGGUGAUGGGGUGGCAUCAGAAUUUGCUUUGAUUAGACCGAUCAUAGGCUCAGGUGCAUUUCUGUGUUCUACCUGUGGAAAAAUGAGACAAAUCGUACAGCGCAGGCUCAACCUUACGGGUUAAGCCUCUGUAUUGGCCUUGGUCAUUUUAACUUACUGAAUAAUGGGCUGAAACACCUUUAUAUUAAGGGGGAGGCUCCCCUCCCCACAUAAAGAAAAGAUACCUCUGGAGUCAAGGCAACCGAGAGAGAACCAAUCAAAACCUGACUCGUGUGUUUACUAUUGAGCCCAGGUUCUCUGCUUUCGAUAGAGCCAAUUGGCUGGGGGAAGGUCAGGUGUCGUUCAAAUGGGCUGCCAGUUGUGACUUUUAAAGGGGGGUCUGUAUUCUAAGGAUUUGCAUGUUCUGUUAAGAAGGGGGUGCCAGACUAGCUCUGGCGGGCUGACCAUGCUUGUUUUGCGUUAAGCGCUUCACUCAGGUAGCUACCUAUCAUUUGCUUAAUUUGGAAUCAUGUUACUUGUUUUGAAAGUUAUGAAUCACGUUGAGACACUAGCUGGCCUGUGCUCAGUGUUAAUUGCUGGAUUUCUGGAUAAUUUUGUUUACAUGCAUUCAUUUUGACCACUUAAGCUUGGGUGAAGCCAAAACCAGCAUGUGUGUAGCCUGCCGUUCCAAGUUUGACACCCAUUCACUUGAAUCCUACAUUUGUCAUAUUUUCACUUUCUAAAUGAAAUUGCAGUAAUAUCCUGAUUUCAGGAGACCUACAAUGUUUCUUUAGGAUGUCUUAAUUGAAACUGACCUUUUUUUUUUUUUUAAAGACGUUAUUACAGUUGCACUUUGAAAUCUGAUUGAUCAGCUAAGGAAAUAAUUUUCAGACAGCUGAAUUCAGAUUGCUAUGUGUAAAAUGGGAGAUUUACAAUCAGUUUUACAAAGCAAGCAUGCAUCCAUGACAUCAGACAUGUCAGUCAGCAUGGUGUGAAAAGAGGCACUCAACGAUAAUGGUGAAGGGGAAUUUUGGGUCCCUGAAAGACAAUGAAGUUGAUGUGCUUGCAGUGACUGAAUAAAUUAACCAGAUUCUGGCA